AGGACCCUAUUCCAGACUCCCAUAAAGCGACGUAUGGCGUUAAUUAAAGGUGUUACCACUGCAGUACGUUAUACAUAGUGACGUUUUCGCGCAUGGCGACUAUGGCGAUAACGUUGGAUACAUGUUGACGAAAGAAUUUCACGGAUCAUGUUUUUACUGAAUAAGUACAGAAAAAUAGAAAACAGAUCUGUAGGCUAAAAAAUCUUACAGUAUCACACCUAUUUACGUAAAAAAGUAUGAAACUCAUGGCACGAAAUCGGAUACAGAAAUUAAUUUUCCUACCUGAAUAUUCAGAAUUUAAAGACACUCUGCUUGCAGAAUCAGCUUUUAUUGAGUUAGACAAGUGUGGUGAACCAGUCAGACAAGUGUUU